rnacentral:lncRNA from 1 species
AAAUAAUAAAAUAUAUUAAUAAUAAUUCAUAAAAACAUAAUGUAUCUCAUUAAAUAUUAAUAAAUAAAAGGAAGCACAAAUCAAAAAUAUUAAUAUCACAGUAACUUAAAAAUAAACAUAUAUUGUUUGAAGUGAAUAGCUAAUAUCAUUAUAUGACUAAUCGUGACCAAUAAUAGUCUUCAAAUAAUUUCUGCAACUCUUUAUCAUAUUAAAAUCUUCAACCUGCUAAAUUAUCGAUCAUAAGAUCGUAUGGACUGAAAUAAUAAAAUAACUACGUCAGUACAUGAAAUAUACAAGCAC